rnacentral:ncRNA from 1 species
CAAAGGUUUGGUCCUGACUUUACUAUCAACUUUAGCUAAACUUACACAUGCAAGUAUCCGCACUCCUGUGAGAAUGCCCUACUGUUCCCCGCCCGGGAACAAGGAGCAGGUAUCAGGCACACCUCUAGUUAGCCCACGACGCCUUGCUUAGCCACACCCCCAAGGGAACUCAGCAGUGAUAAACAUUAAGCCAUAAGUGAAAACUUGACUUGGUCAAAGCUAAGAGGGCCGGUAAAACUCGUGCCAGCCACCGCGGUUAUACGAGAGGCCCAAGUUGAAAGACCCCGGCGUAAAGAGUGGUUAAGCUAGAAUUUAUACUAAAGCCGAACAUCCUCACGGCUGUUAUACGCACCCGAAGACAAGAAGCUCAACCACGAAGGUAACUUUAUAUAUCUGAACCCACGAAAGCUACGGCACAAACUGGGAUUAGAUACCCCACUAUGCCUAGCCCUAAACAUUGAUAGUACCCCACACCCGCUAUCCGCCUGGGAACUACGAGCAGCAGCUUAAAACCCAAAGGACUUGGCGGUGCUUUAAACCCACCUAGAGGAGCCUGUUCUAGAACCGAUACCCCCCGUUCAACCUCACCUUUCCUUGUUUCACCCGCCUAUAUACCGCCGUCGUCAGCUUACCCUGUGAAGGUCUAAUAGUAAGCAAAACUGGCCAAGCCCAGAACGUCAGGUCGAGGUGUAGCGCAUGGGAGGGGAAGAAAUGGGCUACAUUCGCUGCUGCAGCGAAUACGGACGAUGCACUGAAACGUUCAUCUGAAGGAGGAUUUAGCAGUAAGCAGAAAGUAGCGUGUUCCGCUGAAACUGGCCCUAAAGCGCGCACACACCGCCCGUCACUCUCCCCAAGCCCACCAACUUAAUUAACUAAACCCUAAUAAUCGCAAAGGGGAGGCAAGUCGUAACAUGGUAAGCGUACCGGAAGGUGCGCUUGGAAAAAU